AUUGGUGCAACAUGGGAGAACUACAAACCCCAGCAACAAGGCCAGCAGUGCAUUCUGGGAGUCGUGGUUCUUGGCUUUCGCAGGGUUCUUUUCCUGCCCUUCUCUGCCAAGUUUUGUAUCUCUGGGUGUUGACUUCGGCUGCUUUAAGGAUCACCUUGUGGUUAGGUUUUACCUACAAAAGGCCGAGGCAAGAUUAUGAGAAGCCAGGUAGAAAUGAGGAGUAAGGAGAGGAGAUGGAGAGAGACCAGGGGUGCCACUCUUGAAGAGACCAGGGGUGCCGCUUCUUUCCUCUGACACAAGGAAAGAAAAGAUGAGGAUAAAAGAAGUGCUUCUCCAAUAGAAGACCAUAUCUUGGCUAGCUGAAUGUUUCUAGGGGAUAUUUCUGGGGCGGUGGUGACUUAGUUUGGGAAAUACUUGACUUAAAGGGCCAGUAGCCUUUUAAGGAUGUACAGUAGGCAGGUACAUAUAUGGCUCUGGAGUUCAACAGUAUUGGGAAAGUCAUAUACAUAUGAAUAAAUGAUUUAGUUGAAGAUGGAUAUGAAUAAUCGUUACUUGGGUUUAUUGUGUUAA